rnacentral:lncRNA from 1 species
GUGUGGCAUUUAGAGAAUAAAUUUGUUGGGUGAGUAAAUGAAUGAAUGCUCACAGGUAAACAAUUCUAACAGAGAGGGGCUAUAAUGGAGUUUGAGCAUAAGGAACUUUGUAGGACAUGAGGAUUAACUUUGAGCAGUUCAUAGAACAUUUCACUGAGUGAAGCUGUUUCCUUUCAGAAUUUUCUCUUUUUUUAAUAUUUUAUUUUAUUAGUUUUAGGUGGACACAAUAUCUUUAUUUUUAUUUUUAUAUGGUGCUGAGAAUCGAUUCCAGUGCCUCAUGCAUGCCAGGCAAGCGCGUAUUCAAUUGAGCCACAUCCCCAGCCCCAGUUCCAGAACUUUCUAAGUGUAUUCAAAGCCAUCAGAGGGCACUGCAUCUGGGAACGAAAUAAAGUGAUGCUAGAUAGCCACCAGAUGGCGAUAUUGCAGAGAGAUUUGAGCAGCAGAGGAAAUGGCCAGCCCUAUUCCAGCUAAGAGCCCAUAUUUACUUCUAAAUGAGUUUUUGUGUCCUGUCCACAAAAGUUAAAGCUGUGAUUUCUUUUCUUUUGUUUUGCUAGUUUUGAAACACUUCAAUUCCUGCCCAAGGCUGCUCUGGGAGACAUCUGGUGUUCUAGUUGGUCAGUCAUUACCAGCCAGAGAAGAGAAAUGAUGCCGAGUAUUUUUCCAGUCCUUCAGAUGCUGGAAUUCUAAUUCCCACUCCACUGAUCUGCUGUCUCCCAUGUAAUGCCCUUAUGUGGAUGGAUUUAAAGAGGUGAGGAGAGAAGCAAACUUGUAAACACACAUGCGCGUGCGUGUGUGUGUGUGUGUAUACUAAUGAUUGUACCCGGAGCGCUCUCUAUCACUGAGUUACAUUCCCCAACCCUUUUUAUUAUUUUAUUUUGAUACGGGGUCUUGCUAAAUUACUGAGGCUGGCCUUGAACUUGAAAUCUUCCUGCCUCGGCCUCCUGAGUUGUUGGGGUUUCAGGUAUGUGCCACUGUACCCAGAUAAAACUGUUAUUUUUUGAGACAUCAGGUACUAUAGUCAGACAUUUUAUAUAAUUAUUUAAUUGCCAUGAAACCCUGAGAGAUUAAUUUUAUCUUUCAUUUUAUACCUCAGCCUGCUUCAGCAAUUAAUAACAGGCAUUAUCAGUCCUCUUUCAGUUAUACCCUCAUCUGACAACACAUAUUAUUUUCAGACAGCUCCCAGACAAUCUCAUCAUAUUAUUUCAUUUUGAAGUACUUUUUUGCUGGGCACAGUGGCACACACCAGUAAUCCCAGCAGCACAGUCUGAGGCAGGAGGGUCACAAGUUUGAAGCCAGUCUCAUUAACUUAGUGAGGUCCUAAGAAACUUGGUGAGACCCUGUCUCAAAUAAAAAAAUAAAAAGGGCUAGAGAUGUAGCUCAGUGAUGAAGCAUCUCUGGGUUCAAUCCCCAGUACACAACAAACAAAAAAACCUCCCAAAACUCAAUAGCUCUAAAAGAUAAACACUCUUUAACACAAGGCAAUAACAUUAUAACACUAAAAAACCCUACAGUAAUUCCUUAACAUCAUCAAAUAUCUAGCCCUGUUAAAUUUACCUGGUUUCUCAUCUUUUAAAAUUGCAUGUAUUUUAUUCAAAUCAGGAUUCAGACAGGUUUAUAAAUUGCAUUUAUUUAAUAGAUGAGUUAUGAGUCUUUUUAUAUAGAAGGAGACUGAAGAGAAGAGUAUCUAUUCAGAAUUCAGAUAAAAUUCUCUUCUGAAUUAAACCUAGUACUAGAUGUUGGGGGUCACAAAGAUUAGGAAGAUAUAGUCCCUAACGAACUCAGUUGUGCGCUCCUAUUAAUGUUCUGUGAGUAUAUUUAUCACAGGACUUAUCACUUAUGAUUAGUAUGCAUUUAUGUGUCUAUCAUUCCGGGUGGUAAGUCCACUAAGAGGUAGGGAUGAUUUCAUGUUCAACAUUGCAGUUUUUAUACUUAGCAUAGAUCUUGGCAUACAACAGGGGAUGGAGUAAUUUUGUCUAACUGGGAAUCAAUAAAGAGUUUCCAGCCAGGCACAGUGGCACACACCUGUUAUCUCAGUGGCUUGGGAGGCUGAGGAAGGAGGAUCAUGAAUUCAAAGCCAGCCUCAGCAAUAGCGAGGUACUCAGCCACUCAGUGAGACUCUAAGUAAAAUACAAAAUAGGGCUGGGGAUGUGGCUCAGUGGUUCAGUGCCUCUAAGUUCAAUCCUCAGUACUAAAAGAACAAACAAACAAACAAACAAAUAAAACCAAAAACAAAAAAACAGUUUCUAGCAGGGCAGUGACAAUGUAAAGUUUUCACUAGUGGUAGAUAAAAGGUUGUCAGUUGAUUUCAAAGCAUAAUGACUGGAGACAGACUAUUGCAGAGUCCGGGCUAGAAAGGAUGAGAGUGAGUAUGGAGAGAAGAUGGAUUGGAGAGUUACUGAGUAUGUAAACGGUCAGGAUUGAGUAAUUUCUUACAUGCAGAGAAUGAAGAGUUUCAGGCUUGGGUGAUGGUGGUGUCACCAACAAAUUCAGAAUGAAGAGGAAAAGCAGGUUUAAGAUGCGGAAGAAAAGUUCAGUUUGGGACAUGCUGAGGUUAAGGUGACUGUUCAGGAGAUGUCAUCUAUAGAGAUGUUUGCAACCAUCUGGGUGUGGUGGUAUACACCUGUAAUUCUAGCGGUUUAGGAGGCUGAGGUAGGAGAAUCCCAAGUUCAAAGCCAACCUCCGCAACUUAGUGAGUCCCUAAGCAACUCAGUGAGACCCUGUCUCAAAAUAAAAAUAUAAAAAAGGUUAUUUUAAGCCAAAACUCAUGAGAGAGGUCAGGAGUAAAGAACUAGGAGUCAUGAGCAUAUAGAUAGAGCUUAAAAUUGGAUGCCAUCACUCAGGGACGGGACAUGCAGCAAAACAGGAAGUGGGUUUAGGAUGGAACUCUGUGGAACCUUACAAGGAAAUUGAAGAAUGAGAAAGAAAAGGAAUAGCAAGGGGAAUUGGAAGAAGACCAAGAAAGUAUGGUACCUCGGCAGCCAAAGGAGUUCAGGAGGUGGGCAAUGGGAGUAGUUAACACUUGAGAGGCAGUUAGGGAGGUGAUGGCAGAGAAUAGUUGAGUAUGGCUGGGGUGUGGGGCAUUGUAGAAGAGUGGCAGGAGGUUAGUCCAGAAAGGUCAGUUAAGCCUUUAUCCAAAAGGGCCUUGGCCACCAGGUGAAGGGGUUAAGGCUUCCUUUUGGUAAAUGGGAGUCACUGAGGAGAUUCAAGUAGGAGUGACCUCGUUAGAUCGAGGUAUUUUAGAAAAGUCAGGUUGAGGCAGCGUUUAGAGGAAUGGGACUGGGGGCAGGCCUCAUUAAGGCAAAGUAGGAAUAGGUUGUGGAGGAAGGGAGAGUUUCCCAAAAUCUUUAGUAGAUAAAAUUUGCAGCCUCCCCAACCCAAAAAAUAGCUAAUGCUCACUGAGCCAUGUUCUAGGUAGUAUUCUAAGUACAUACAUCGAUUAUCUUGCUAAAUCCUUACAACCAACCUGUGAGAUAGAUGUCAUUAAUGUCAUUUUAUGCACAAUGAAACAGGAACAUAGAGAUAAAGAAAUUUGGUGAACAGAGCUAGUAAGUGGCAGAGCAUAAAUUCAAACUCAAGUGGCUUGACUUUUUAUUUUUUAUUUUUUUGGUACUGGGGAUUGAACUCAGGGGCACUCAAUCACUGAGCCACAUCUCCAGCCCUAUUUUGUAUUUUAUUUAGAGGCAGGGUCUCACUGAAUUGCUUAGCUCCUCACUUUUGCUGAGGCUGGCUUUGAACUUGCAAUCCUCUUGCCUCAGCCUCUUGAGCCACUGGGAUUACAGGCAUGUGCUGCUGCACCCAGCUAAGUGGCUUGACUCUUAACCCAUACUGUUUUUUUUUAAAUAAUUUUUUUAGUUAUAGAUGGACACAAUAUCUUUAUUUAUUUAUUUUUAUGUGGUGCUGAGGAUCGGACCUAGGGCUUCCCACAUGCUAGGCAAGUGCUCUACCACUGAGCUACAACCCCAGCCCUUAACCCUCACUCUUAACGUCCUUGUUGUGCCAUGAUUGGAUGUGGGAAGUGUGGGGUUGUUAGUUCGGAUUAGGUUGAGCUGUACGUUAUCAGAUAGCCAAAAUAACGAUGGGUUAUGUAUAAUUGUAAUGUACCAAUAAAAAUAUGGAAAUAAAUAUCUCAAUGUAAAAGAAAAUAAAAGAAAGAGUAUAGGGGCUGGGGAUGUGGCUCAAGCAGUAGUGCUCUUGCCUGGCAUUUGUGUGGCCCGGGUUCGAUCCUCAGCACCACAUACAAACAAAGAUGUUGUGUCUGCUGAAAACUAAAAAAAAUAAAUAAAGAUUUAAAAAAAAAAAGAUUACAGAUCAGGGCUGAGAAUAUAGCUUAGUCAGUAGAGUGCUUGUUUUUUUUUUUAAAAAAAAAAGAAAGAGUAUAGUAUAAUGCAUUAAAAAACAACAACAACAACAACAGCAAAAUAGCCACUGGCUAAACUGGAUAGAAAUUCAUUUCUCUUUCAAAGGGUUUAGUGUCCAAUCUUCAGGGUAUAAGAUACAACUCCAAUGAGCACAUUCAUGUUCCAAGCAGCAAAAUGCUAUGUUGCAGGGGUAAGGAGAGAACAGAUAUUAGGUGAAAGCUAGCAGUCUUUGCUAUAAGGGAGAUUCCAAGACUCUGACAUUUGCAUAGAGGAUUGCAUGUAGGAUGGUAUCAUCCCCAAUUUAAGUGGAGAAUACAGGGAACCUAUUAGACCUUUAUGUUUGUUUUCCUAGGGCCUUUGGCUUCACCUAGAAGCAAAAGCCUGUUUAUUUGUAUUAUUUUGGUUUUUGGUGUACUGCCCCUUUCCUAUCUAGCCAUGCAGUUCUAGUGAGAUCUUCCAAUCAGUACUCUGUCUCUCUGGCAAACAAUUUGAUUGAUUGAGGUAUGGCCAUGUGAUCCAGGCCAGGACAAUCAGAAUACUUCAUUUUAAUUACUUUUUUUGACUUAAUUGAGGAAAAAAUUGUGACAUGACUGGAAAAUGUAUGGCCAGAAACUGCUGAUGGCCCCCUUUUUUUUAAUUACUUUUUUUUUUUAGUUGUCGAUGGACCUUUAUUUAAUUAAUUAAUUUAUAUGUGGUGCUGAGCUCAGAACCCAGUGCCUCACACAUGCUAGGUGGGUGCUCUACCACUGAGCUAUAACGCCAGCCCACAGCUGAUGGCCCUUUUAUGGUCAAAGGGAGAAAAUCUGUCUAAAAUAAUGCCAAAGGCUGAAUGUUUUUUUCUGAUAAGUGGAUGCUGUUCCAUAAUGGGGGCGGGGGAAGAAUGGAGGACCUUUGGAUUGGGAAGAGGGGAGUGAGGGGAGGGGAGGAGAUAUGAAGGUAGGAAAGAUGGUGGAAUGAGACGGACCUUAUUACCCUAUGUACAUGCAUGAUUAUAAGAUUCGUGUUCAAGUUCCUAGUCUUACUUGUCUUUGAUGCCCAUAUGCCCCUAUGAUUAUGUGAGGCUUCUAAUAGAUUCCCUCUUUUGCCCAAGUUUAAGUAGCAUUUCUGUUACUUGAUAUCAUUGAAGUCUUGAUAAAAACUGUUGUAAAAGGUAAUUCUAAAAUCAAUGUAGAUGUGUUUAGGAUCCGUGUGUGUAUUGGUGGGAGGUGAGAUUAUAGUAAAUAGUAACCAGGAGCAGGGAGAUAGUUUAUGAGACUGUUUCAGUAAUCCACCUGAAGGUAAUAACAAUCUGAGCUAAGGCACAUCAGGGGGCCAGGCUUGCCAUGACCCGUUUCUUAUAAGCCUUGAGCCAGCUGCCCAUAUCUAUGGGCUGGUCAUCUUUAUAUGGUUGCAGUGUAACUAGUCACUAUUUAUUAUGGGCAUUUUCCCUAUGUCCUUAGGCAUAGUUAUAAUAGCUGCUUAAAAAUUCUUGUUUGUUAAUUCUGAAAAUGUUGGUCAUCUUGGGGUCACUUUUUAUUGAUUGCCUUUCUUCUUCAGUAUGGGUAAUAUAUUCCUGUUUCCUAUAUAUCCAUUCAUUUUGACUUGUCUCCUGAACAUUGUAGAGGAUGCAAAUCUGUAAUUCAUUUUUUUCCCUAUGAAAAGUAUUGAUUUUUGUUUUUGUUUUAGCAGACAGUUAAUAUAACUCAAACUCCAUACUCAGUCUCUCUUAUGGUAGGCACCAACUGAAAUACCUAUUCAGUUCUUUGAAAUUUACAUGGACUGUUUGAAGAUGGCCCCACACACUUAUAAUUCAGAGGUUUGUCAGACUUUGAGGCAUUUUAUAUGCAGAAUUUAGGGCUCUACCUAUCAAGCUUGGUCCAUUCUAGGAUUUUACCCCUACUCUUUCCAGCUUCUGUGGAAACCCUGAGCUCUGUCCUCUGAUUUUCAAGUUAGUAAGAUUCAAUUUCAGCCAGCCACCAGAGCACUGACUGGGGCCUACUCUGUGGCUAAAAGUCUUAAAAAUGGGAAGCUCAUCUAGAUCUGAUCCCAUCUUUGAAGUGUUGAUUUUCUUCCAGUUUCUGCCUACUUGUCAAUAUUUGCAGGCAGUUAUUUUUUUUUUUAAUAUUUUGUCCAGGGUAUAUACUUGCUAUAUUUGAAGGAAGAUGAACUUGAUGAAAGCUACUUGGUCUUUUAUUGGAAGCCAAAACCUGUCAAGUCACUACUAUUAUUUAACCUGUGGCAUAUAUGGCAGGAGCACUCUAGUGCAGUAAGAAUUUGUAUGUAGGCUUUGGAUGUUUGAUCCAGAAGAUAUGACUUGAUAAAGGAAGUCUUUACAAUUAAGUAAGCUAAAGGUGAUGACAUUUUAGGAUGACACGUUUGGAGGUAUGAGGGGCUUGGUAAUCUCCCACUUGGUCUGCUGUGAACUUAAAUAAUGUCACCCUACACAGGUGGAAUCCUACUGUCACCAACCUGAGUGCCUCUCCCAUAAGGAGUUUCAUUCAUCAAACACCUCCUAUCCUAGUAUCUCUGGAUCACCUCUGCUUUUUUUUUUUUUUAAAAAAAAGCAAUAUUUGAACUUAAUGUAGUAAACUAUACUUUCUUUGCAGUUUAUAGACCAGAACAACAGGCCAAGACCACUACCCAGUCCUCUGCCAGACCUACUGUGUGGGAUGCACAGGGUAGAUAAAUUGACAAGUGUUUUACUGGGUUGGAUGGUCAGGGAUUAGUGACAAAGUAUAGGCAGGGAAAUAAAAGAGAGGAGUUAAGGACUAGCUUCAAAUUUCUGCUUUUAGCAUCUAGAUGGGUGGUAAAUAGAGGAGAGAAAAGAAAGCAAGUUUAAGGGAGAAGGUGAAUUCAGCUUUGGCCAUGUUUGAAGUAUCUGUGAGACAGUUAAGCAGAAUAUAUAUGAAUCUGGAAGGCUGAAGAGACGUCUGAGAGGGUGAUAUAUAUUGAAGAAUGACUGGCAGAUAAGCAUAUAUGAAGCUACCUGUGUAAGUGAUAUAACUGGAUAACAUAUACAGAAUGGGAACUGAUAACAAAGCCCAGUGGUAAAGCAGGGGAUACUGUAAGAAAUUAGUCACUUUGAGAGACUGAGAAGCAGUCAGAAAAGGAAAGUCAAAACAGGAAAUGUGGUAUACAGAAGCCAGGGGAGAUGAGUUUCAAGAAGGAGUUAGUGGCCAAUAGAGUUCAAUUCAGAGAAAAGCAAGGAAAGCAAGCACUAAAAAGCAUCCAUUGGAUUUAGCAUCUAAAAGAUCUUCACCUCAGAGUUCACAUUUGCAGUGGAGUGGCAGGGAGUGUGACCACAUUGUAGUGGUUUGAGGAGUACAUGGGGGUGGUAGAUAACAGCAUGUGGCUCUUAUUAAUCAUCCUUUCCAGAAACCAUUCCCCUGUGUAGUCCCCUACUCUUAAAUCUGGUGUGCUCUGUGAAAAUGUAAGGAAGUGAUGCUGCUUAAAUUCCAAGGGUAGGUUGUAAGAAGCCUUGAAACUUUUGCCUUGGCCUUUUGGAGCUCUGAACAACCACAUAAGAAAUCUGAGCACCUUGCUAAGGAGACCAAGUAAAGAAGCCCUGAGACGACAUGGAGUGAGACAGCAACACAGCUAAGCCCAAUUUCCAGAUAUCUCCACCAGGUGGCAGGCAUAGGAAUGAAGGAAGCCAUCUGGGGCCCUCCAGACCAACCUGCCAAUCAGCUGGAUACCACUGACCCCAUUAGAUACCUCAUAGGGUAGACUUGCCCACAUUCCUCACACAGUCAUGAAUAUAAUUAAAUAAUUAUUAUUUAAGCCCUAAGUUUUGGGGCGAUUUUUUUACACAUGAUGUAAAACCCGAAGAUUGGGUGUUGAAGUAGUGAGACUGUUAGUGCAUGUUAUACCUUCAAUAAGCUUGGAAAGAGAAUGAUCUAAUGGCAGCUGGAAGGUCACAAGACUGAGGGAAGAUUUUGAUAAAAAUGUUAGAGACUUGGGAAUGUGCACAGGCUGAUGGGGAAGAGCUAUGAGAAAGAGAAAAUUGAAAAUGUAGAAGAGGGAGGAGGCAGCUGAUGCAUGAAGUUCUCAUCCUAUCUGAUUUUAUUUCCUACUUUUCCAGCACAAUAGUUUUUAGACUUAUUUAAAAUGCAAUUUUAUUUUGAAAUAGUUUUAGAUUUACAGAAAGUUUGCAAAAAAGACAGUUACCAUGUGUGACCCACACUCUGGUAGAGGGUCUGAUCUUAGAAACCAGGAUAGUAGGAUACUUUAGCUUCUAAAUUAGAAAGUAUCUUCCCUCCUCUGGAUAUUUAAAAAUGCCAAGCUUUCAAACAUAUAUAAUUAUAUAAAUGUUACAUGUGUAUGUAUGUGUGUAUGUGUUUAUAUAUGUUUUACAUGUAUGUAUAGGAUAUAUAUAUAUAUAUAUAUAUAUAUAUAUAUAUAUAUAAAAUAUAUGAAAAUUUGUUGGAAAAUGUUGGAUUUACCAAGGAUUUACUGACUUAACCCAGGCCAGAAAGUGACUGAAUCUACACUCUUGAACUAAAAUCUAAGUUAUCUUUACUAAGGUCACAUUAAGAACCAUACUUCCACAGAGUGAGCUGGUCUGGGCUCAGUGGGCUCUCAAAAUAUUAUAGGAUUUAAAUUCCAUUGCCUCUUAGAUAAUUACCUAGAAAUUCUUUCCAAGAAAAAGAGCUGUUGACCUCAUACCUCUGCCUGUUGUUGUCCCACUUUCAGCAGGGACUAUGUAUUGGAUUCAUACCCCCAAGGAGGACUUGUGGUAGUUUGAGCUGGUGGUGGUUGACCCUCUGUACCAUAAAGUCACUUUGGCUUCACCUUUCACAGUAGCAGACUUCCCUAAGGAAAAGCCCGAUCAAGGCAAAGUGGAAUAGUAAUCCAAUGGAAAAAUAAACCACUUUUAAAAAACUUUCUCAUUUUGGAAAAAAUGCAAACAUAUACAAAAUUAGACUAGAAUAAUGAACCCCCAUAUUCUAGCACCAAUAAUUAAUGAUUUCUGUUCAUCCAUAAAAUGUCAUACACACGCGUGCGCGCGCGCACACACGCGCGCGCACGUGUGGGUAUGUGCAGUUGUAAGUUGUUUAAAGUAGUUGGUCCUUUUUAUUCACAGAUUUCAUAUUUGCAAGUUUACCUACUUGCUUAAACUUAUCUUUAACCCCACAAUCAGUACCUGAAGUACUUUCAUGGUCAUUCGUGGACCUGCACAGAUUGGCCAAGCACUCAAUGUUCUCAGUUGAGUUUGGAUAAAAUGACACACUGUCUUCUUGUUUUAGCUCUUAUGCCAUAUCUUUUUCAUAGUCUAUCUAAUGCCACAUUUUAUGCCUUUUGUUGAUGAUUUCACUGUUUAAAAUGGCCCCUAAUCAUUACACUGAUAUGUUGUCUAGUGUUCCUAAUUGCCAGAAGUGAUGUGCCUUAUGGAGAAAAUAUAUGUAUUAGAUAAGCUUCAUUUAGGCAUGAGUUAUAAUACUUUUGGUUGUGAGUUCAAUGUUAAUGAAUCAACAAUAUGGUACAUCCAGAAAAAGGAAGAAGAAAUUUGCCCGUUAAUAUGUGAGGCUUGGGGCCGGAGUUGUGGCUCACUGGUAGAGCACUUGGCUAGCAUGUGUAAGGCAAUGGAUUCAAUCCCCGGCAUCACGUAAAAAAUAAAGUAAAUUAAAAAUAAAAUAAAGUAAAGAUAUUGUGUUCAUUUACAACUAAAAUAAAAUAUGUGAGCCUUCUCUGGGAAGAGAUAAGAUACCAUCUUUAGUGUGAGAUGAAGCUGUGAAAUAGAUGGAAAAGCACCUAAAUUAAUGGGUUUAUGAGAUGACUGAUUUUAAAAAGCAGAGUGGAGAGCACUGUUGUGUGGCUGAAAACUAAAGUCAUUUAUGGUCAUGCUACCUGAGAGCAGGAAAAAUUUAAACCCUUCUCGCCUCAUGUUUUGUUGUAAAGAAAUAUCAUAUAUAAUUAAUUCUUUUUUAAUUUUCUUUCUUUCUUUAUUUUUGCAUUACAAUUCUUAAUACACCAUUAUAUCAUAAUUUAUCAUAUCUCUGAUUAUAUAUAAGGUAUGUUGACACCAAAUUCAAUUCUUUAAAAAUAUAGAUAAUAAAUAAGAUAUCUUUAAACAGAAACAUAUAAAACUAAUUCAUGUAUUGAUCAUUUGAAAGGAAUGAGACCAGAGGUUCACGGGAACUGAACCUUGGAGUUCUACUGUGAAUAGUUCACUAUUUGCUAAUUAAUUGUAUAAGUUGACUUUAUAUAGCCUCACUACCACAAAUAAUAAGAAUCAUUUGUGUACACCCUGACAUAGGUUGUAUGUGUGUUUGGGAAGAGUUUAAUCCAAACUGCAGAUAUGCUAACGUUUUAUUUGUAAAUAUUUUAAUGUCUCUCUAACCACAGUGGUUCUCCAAAGUGUGGUCUGAGUAACCCUGGAGACACCUGGGACCUUUUCAGGGUGUUUAGGAAUUCGUCCUUUUUCUAACUGUAUCUCCAUGAAUUCGGAUUUUUUUCGUAAAAUUCAACCAAAACAACAUAUUAGAACCUUAAAUGCAGAAGCAAAUAUGAGAAUCUAGCUGUCUUGUAUUAAUGCAGAUAUUAAAGUUAUUUGCAAAAAAUGUAAAGUGGUUCUUUUAAUAAAAUUUUAUUUACACAAAUUUGUAGUGGGUUCAUUGUUAUUUUUUCUAUUUUUCUAUUUUUUUCUUUUUGGUUCUGGGAUCAAAUGCAAGACCACACAAGUGCUCUACCACUGAGCAACACCCCAGUCACUAUUGUUAUUUUAAAGGGUUAGUAAACAUUUUUACAAUUUCAGUUUUUAUUUCUAAAACAUUAUAUUUCUAUCUCCUACAUGAACAAAAGCUAUUUAGGAUGUAAAAUAUUAAUAUUUUUAUCAUAUGCAUGUAACUUUAUUUUAAAAAUAUAAAUAUAAAAAUAUAAAUUAAAAAAUAUUUUGUUUAUUUAGUUGUAGUUGGACACAAUACCUUUAUUUUUAUUUUUACGUGGUGCUGAGGAUUGAACCCAGGGCCUCGCUCACACUAGGUGAGUGCUCUACUGCUGAGCCACAGCUCCAGCCCAGGUCAGUAUUUUAAAAAGAAACAUUAGUGCACUUUCCUUCAGCAUACCUAUUUGCAAAACCUAUCAAAAGGUGGAGGACUUUUUAAACUGCCUCACAUAUGCAUGAAUAGCAAUUAACACAGUAAGAACAAUUCUGGUUAUGAAAUGUACCAAGGUAAAUUUCUGCGACUCUGGAAUUUGAAAUAGUUUUCUUUAAAAAAUAUUUUAAGGGGCUGGGGUUGUGGCUCAGGGGUAGAGUGCUUGCCUAGCAUGCAUGAGGCACUGGGUUUGAUCCUCAGUACCACAUAAAAAUAAAUUAAAAAAUAAAGGUAUUGUGUACAUUUACAACUUUAAAAAAUAUUUUUAAAAUAUUUUAAAAUAAUUAUAGACUCACAGAAAUUGCAAAAGUAGUAUAUAGAGACCCAUGUACCUAUCACCAAGCUCUCCCUCUUAGUGAUAUGUCAUAUAGCUAGCAUAAUCUCAAAUUCAGGAAAUUUGUAAUGGUACAAUAAUAUUAACUAGAAUGUGGGCUUUAUUCAGUUUUCAUCAUUUUUACAUGUGUUCAUGUACAAGUGGUUCUCUGUGGUUUUAUCCCAUGUAUACACUUAGUGAGUUGGGUGAUCAUCAGCACUGCCAAGGUGUAAAACUCUUCAGUUGCCUCCUUUGUAUUUUCCAUUUAUAUUCAUAUCCAUACUGCUUUACUUUUACACCUUGUCAGUGAUUGAUCUGUUCUCAAUCUCUAAAUUUUUGUAAUUUUGAGAAUGUUAUGCAAAUGAAAUCCUGUACUUUGGGGAUUGACUUUUUUUUUCACUAAGUAUAAUGUUCUUGAGGUCCAUAUGGGUUGUGAUUGAAAGACUUAUGGAUUACCUGGUUUUGCUAUUGUAAAGUUACCAUGAACAUUUACAUACAGGUUUUUGUGUGAACAUAAAUUAUCAUUUCUCUUGGAUAAAUGCCCAGUGACUUGUGGAGUUCUAUGAUAAGUACAUGUUUAGUUAUGCACAUAUCAGAAUGAGCCUUGCCAUUGUAUAUUCCUAAAAGCAAUGUAUGAAAAAUUUCCAUUGCUAGGCUGGGUGUGGUGGUACACACUUGUAUUACCAGUGACUUAGGAGGCUGAGGCAAGGAGAUGGCAAGUUCGAGACCAGACUUGGAAACUUGGUGAGAUCCUCAACAAUUUAGUGAGACCCUGUCUCAAAAAUAAUAAAAAAAAAAAAGGCUGGGUACAGUGGCACAUGCCCAUAAUCCUAGCAGCUCAGGAAGCUGAGGUAGGAGGAUCACAAGUUCAAAGCCAGCCUCAGCAACUUAGCGAGGCCCUAAGCAAUUCAGAACCUGUCGCUAAAUAAAAAUAUAAUACAAGACUUGGGGUGUGGCUCAGUGGUUAAGCUCCCUUAAGUUCAAUCCCUGGUACCAAAAAAAAAAAAAGAAAGAAAGAAAGAAAAUUUAAAAAUGACUGGGGAUAUAGCUCAGAAGUAAAGCACCCCUGGGUUCAAUCCCCAAGUACCAAUUAAAAAAUUCAGUUGCUAACAUUUAUUAUUACCAUUAUUUAUAUUAUCCAUUCUCAUUGGUGUGGUUUUACUUUGCAUUUCCCUAAUGGCUAAUGAUGAUGUACAUAUUUUCAUGUUCUUCUUUGUCAUCUGUAUAUUCUCUUUUCUAUCCAUACCUUUUGCUUAUUUUCCAAAUGGAUCUUUAUUUUUAACUAUAGGAUUUUGAGAGUUCUUUAUAUAUUCGGUAUACCAAUCCUUUGUUGUAUAUAUAGUUUGCAAAUAUGUUCUUCCAAUCUGUAGUUUGUAUUUUCAACCUCUUAAUAGGAUCUUUUCAGCAUAAUAACUUUUAAUUUUGUUAGUGUAAUAUGUAAUUUUUCAUGUUUUUAUUGUUUCAUGAUUUUUAUAUUUAAGUCCACAGUCCACUUUGAGUUUAUUUUUUUUCAAACUAUUAAAGAGAUUUGUUUUUGAAAUUUCUUUUAGUUGUUGAUUGACCUUUUUUUAUUUUUUUCUUUAACAACAGAAAUUUACUCUCUUGCAUUUCUGUUUUUUUUUUGGUUAUAGAUGGACACAAUGCCUUUAUUUAUUUAUAUGUGGUGCUGAGGACUGAAGCCAGCACCUCACAUGUGCAAGGUAAGUUCUCUACCACUGAGCCACAACCCCAGCCCUGCUUAUUUAUUUAUUUAUUUAUUUGUAGUGCUGAGAAUCGAACCCAGUGCCUCACAUAUGCUAGGCAAGUGCUCUACCAAUGAGCUACAACCCCAGCCUCUUGAUUUUAUUUUCGUAGAUGGUGUGAGGUUCAAUUUUUUUCCUAUGGAUGAACAUUUAUUCCAACACCAUUUUUUAAAAAAUUCUAUCCUUCUUCCAUUGAAGUUUGUUACACCAUUUGUAAAGUCAGUUGAGUGUACUUGUGCUGGUCUGUUACUCAUUUCCCUUGAUCUGUAUCUGUCACUCCCCAAGGAUCCUACUGU